UUGUGGCCAGAAAGAGAGUGGAAAAGAUGAGACAAGUUGGCUGCUACAGGACGAAAGAGGCGUGCACCUUCAAAGGAGAAACCUAGCUCAGUAAAAACUGAAAAUUGCAAGUCUGGACUGGAUACAGCCUACUGGCCACCAGUUUACACUAAACCAAGGCAAAUGCAAUGGAAAAGGUGAGAAGGCAGCACUAACAGGUUUUUGUGAUCCACUGGAAUUUGGAGGGAUUAUUUUCCAGGUUUCUAUAUCCUUUUGGAGUAACCCAUUUAUUCUUACUAUUGUGUAUAUCCUUGUGAAUUCUUAAGGCUUAAACCAUAGCAUGAAAUGGAUUUCUUGUAGUUCCUUUAUUUAUAUUAAGUUCUAUAUAGCCAGUGCUGAAAACCACAACAGAUCAUUUAGACCAAAGAUAUGUUAAUACUUAAAGCAAAAAAAAAAAAAAAAAAUGAUGCAUGUUUUAGUGCGGGUUCCAGGAAUGUCUCACUUUUUCCCUUAAAAACAUGACGUAGUAAGCAUUCUUUGUUUGUUUUAUCUUGCAUCCUUACAAAUAUCUGAAUUAUCUCACAAAAGAAGGAAUGUACGUAAAGGUUUGUAUGUUUACUUUUUACCUGGAUUUGGGGAUAAUAAAGGCAGUGAUGGGUCAGGCAGGCAUGAGGGCAACAGAGCAGUUUGGACCUGAGUGGAAAGACUCAGGUCUCUGUUUCUACACUUCUCACCGGGUGAAGAUAGCAGUUUUAUAUGUUCUCUCUUAGAUAGAUCUCCUUUCAGCAAGGUUUCUUCUCUGGGAUCCUAGAUGCAUAUUUAAGCUGCUUUGCCUAUAAGAAUGUGUGUCUUGGAUAGCUCCCAGGUUGCUUUGCUGCAGAGUGUGAGAAAAGGGACAAGCUGUCCCUUUGUGUCAUUACCAGUCUGCGUCAUCGAAAGGAGGCUAGCCUCUUGCCUUGGCACUUCCUGUGUCACUCUAUAAGCUUCCUGUUGUGCUUAGCAUUGUUCCUGCGUAGGCUGCUUGUUGGUCAUGAUAUCUGAC